UGACUCUCGGCAACGGAUAUCUCGGCUCUUACAUCGAUGAAGAACGUAGCAAAAUGCGAUACUUGGUGUGAAUUGCAGAAUCCCGUGAACCAUCGAGUCUUUGAACGCAAGUUGCGCCCGAAUCCCUUGGGUUAAGGGCACGUCUGCCUGGGUGUCACG
rnacentral:rRNA from 1 species